CCUACGGGAGGCAGCAGUGGGGAAUAUUGGGCAAUGGGCGCAAGCCUGAACCAGCAAUGCCGCGUGAAGGAAGAAGGCUUUCGGGUUGUAAACUUCUUUGACAGGGGAAGAGCAGAAGACGGUACCCUGAAAACAAGCCACGGCUAACUACGUGCCAGCAGCCGCGGUAAUACGUAGGUGGCAAGCGUUGUCCGGAUUUACUGGGUGUAAAGGGCGUGUAGGCGGGAAGGGAAGUCAGAUGUGAAAUCUGGAGGCUCAACCUUCAAAUUGCAUUUGAAAAUGGUUUUCUUGAGUACUGGAGAGGCAGGCGGAAUUCCUUGUGUAGCGGUGAAAUGCGUAGAUAUAAGGAGGAACACCAGUGGCGAAGGCGGUCUGCUGGACAGCGACUGACGGUGAGGCGCGAAAGCGUGGGGAGCAAACAGGAUUAGAUACCCGAGUAGUC
rnacentral:rRNA from 1 species